GGCUGAGCCCUGCCACUCCUGACAUGAGGUCUUAAUGCCCCGAUCAACCGUCCAAUCAGAAUCUGCAAUCCCACCGUGUGACAAGAACAGCUAAAAAUCAGCAUAAUAUCUCGCAAUGCUCCAAGCAUUUGUUGCACAUGCAGAGUCUGAAGCAACUUCAACACAGGGUAAACAAAAAAAGCCCACCUGGGAUUUGUUACGUUGUACUGAGAAAUCAGGCUCCAGCUUCAGAUGACCCACCACAGAAAAGAAUCUACAUGCUCAGAAAAAAAAACACUUGUAAAGAAAAUAUCACAGUAUUAACUUGCACUGUCAUAUUCAUUAUUUUGUAUGAAAAGGUUUGAUUAUAAUAAGGUAUACUUUAAGUCUAUUGGUAUUAGAACUUCUUUUUUUCUGUGGUAUUGAAAAAUUGAAUUCCAGAUUUGUUUCAUAUAACAAAAGAAUGCAUUUUUGACCAUUUUUGUUUUUAAAACUGAUGCUAUGAAUAUUGAAGAUUUGACAUUUUCAUGACUGUAUUUUGAAGAGAUAUUUUUAAACAUCCAUUUUAACAGAACCAUUCAAACUUCUAUUUUGUCCCAUGGGUUUUUUUUACUACAGGCAUGAAACCUCUAUUCUGAUGCUAAGACGGGGUCACUCUGGGUCAGAAGCGUGACCUUGAAUCCCGUAACCUCUAUUUAUUUUACCAUUUGUUUUUUUUCCUUCAAAUAUUACUAUGGUUUGUGAUAUUGAUCAGCAAUUGACAGACAAGAUUAAUCAUUGGUGCUAUUGUUGUUUAGCAGACAAGUCAGUCCGCUAAAAUUCAGAGGUGUAAACUCACAUCUCUCAUUGUUGUUAUGUUUUUAUUCUGCUGCAUACACUAGUUCUGUGUCAGUAAGUAGAAUUCCUGUAAUUAUUGUAAAAGGGAAAGGUUGAAGUUAUUAAUGUGUAAACUGUGAUAGAAUCGUAUAAAGACGACUUUGUAUAAGUUAUUUUACAAGGAAAUUUCUUUGUAUCCUGUACCCUACAGUGUAAAAUAUUCCUACAUUAGAAAGUAUUUCAUUAAAGACCAAAGGAAGAAAUUUUAAGAAAAGCAAUUUUUUCUCUCUUUUCCACAAUUUUCUUUUCAUUUUCGUAAGGAAAAGUGCUGCAUUAAUUAAUGUGAUUUAGAAAACAUGAGCCACCAGUUUUUGUAUUUUUUUUUUUUUUACAAAACCUGAUUGAAUGUUGUAGAGCAACACCUCUUAAAAUUGAUUUUGGUUCAAACCAUCUACCAUAAUUGCUGUUGAUUCUCCUCUUAUUUCAUUGUGUGUGUGUGUGUGUGAAUCCAUUAUAUGUGUAUGUGUGUGUAUGCAGUUCUUGUUCAAGAGUCACGAUGAACAUUUUUAAAUGCUGUGUUAUUCAUGUUAUGUUAAUUUUGGAAAAAAUUAAGAAAUGAUGCAUAAAAAAAUUGUUAAACAAAUAAAAAUAAUCUACAUU
rnacentral:misc_RNA from 1 species